AGGGUUCAGAAUUUCUGAUCCCGUUCAACAAGGAAGGAAAAGGGUUCAGAAUUUCUGACCCCAUUUAACGGGUCAGGAAAAGGGUUUAAAAUUUCUGAACCCAUUAAACGAAGAAG